GACAAACGCUGGCGGCGUGCUUAACACAUGCAAGUCGAGCGAUGAAGCUCCUUCGGGAGUGGAUUAGCGGCGGACGGGUGAGUAACACGUGGGUAACCUGCCUCAUAGAGGGGAAUAGCCUUUCGAAAGGAAGAUUAAUACCGCAUAAGAUUGUAGCUUCGCAUGAAGCAGCAAUUAAAGGAGUAAUCCGCUAUGAGAUGGACCCGCGUCGCAUUAGCUAGUUGGUGAGGUAACGGCUCACCAAGGCGACGAUGCGUAGCCGACCUGAGAGGGUGAUCGGCCACAUUGGGACUGAGACACGGCCCAGACUCCUACGGGAGGCAGCAGUGGGGAAUAUUGCACAAUGGGGGAAACCCUGAUGCAGCAACGCCGCGUGAGUGAUGACGGUCUUCGGAUUGUAAAGCUCUGUCUUCAGGGACGAUGAUGACGGUACCUGAGGAGGAAGCCACGGCUAACUACGUGCCAGCCGCCGCCGUAA
rnacentral:rRNA from 1 species